UGGGGAAUCUUGCGCAAUGGGCGAAAGCCUGACGCAGCAACGCCGCGUGCGGGAAGAAGGCUCUCGGGUUGUAAACCGCUUUCAGAAGGAACGAAACUGACGGUACUUUCAGAAGAAGGUGCGGCCAACUACGUGCCAGCAGCCGCGGUGACACGUAGGCACCAAGCGUUGUCCGGAUUUAUUGGGCGUAAAGAGCUCGUAGGCGGUUCAGUAAGUCAGGUGUGAAAUCUUUGGGCUUAACCCAAAGCGUGCAUUUGAUACUGCUGUGACUUGAGUUCGGUAGGGGAGUGGGGAAUUCCUAGUGUAGCGGUGAAAUGCGCAGAUAUUAGGAGGAACACCGGUGGCGAAGGCGCCACUCUGGGCCGAAACUGACGCUGAGGAGCGAAAGCGUGGGUAGCAAACAGGAUUAGAUACCCCCGUAGUCC
rnacentral:rRNA from 1 species